AAAUUUAAGUAAAAAAAAAAAAGAGAAAAAGUAAAAUUUGACUUGAAUUUUGUCUUUAUCUUACUACAUAAUAAAAUAACAAAAGGUUAUAUAAGUCAUUUACUAAAAUCUCUAUUAGACAAAAAGUUGUAUUAGAGUGGAAAGAGAAAAGUGUCUAUUUCUCCUAUUUCUAAAACAACUACUUACUUUGCAAAUUAUUUGUAGAAAAAGUGUCUACUUUCCAACUUAUCUCAAAAAUAUAUUCAUCCUCGUUACCACCAUCUCUACAUUCACAUUUUUUUCUUCCGAGAAUCCAACUUUAUGUACCAUGAUUUUAUUUUAGAAAGAAAAAAGUUGAAGUAUUAAGACAUAUAUGUUUACUGCGGUAAAUUUCUAAGAUUGAGAUUGAGACUGCAUCAAUUAAAAACGAAUACUGCGGUAAAUUUCUUUAAACGAGGAACAAAAGUUUAUGAAAAAGAGAGGGAAAACUCUAACUCAAAUUUUGGUAAAAGGUAAUUUAAAACUCA
rnacentral:sRNA from 1 species